GCGCUGGAUCUUGUGUGCUUUAUAUAUAUAUAUAUAUAUAUAUAUAUAUGUGUAUAUAUAUAUAUACAUAUAUAUAUAUAUAAAGCACACAAGAUCCAGCGC